UGAGAGUUUCUACCUCCAUUGAAGCUUGAGGAGCCAUCAAUCCUUGGUUGUGUGACCAUUGGUGGAUUGAGACAUUUGGACCAACCGUGAGUGAUCAACCAUUGGAGCAAGCUAUGGAGCUCGAAUAGCUCAUUGGAAUUGGUGUAUGUUUGUAAAAGUUGAUUGCUGAAACUGUUGGUGAAGAACAAAGGUUGACUGAAGCAUUGAGGUAAGGAUGCUGCAGGAGCCUCUGGUGGCAAGUGGCCAUAUCUGGAUUAUGCAUGAAAUGUGGCAUUUCUUUUGAGUUUAUGCAUACCUUUUGUAGUUGACAUGUAUAGGAUUUUAUUUUGAAAGCCCAUGGUCAUUUGUAUAUCUUGAUUCAUUGGAUGAACUUAGCCUAUGCUCAUGCCUUUGGUUACACCUUUUGUUGAUGGGAGCCAAGGGAAUGAUCAUAGUGUUUUGUAAGCUAAGUUCUAUGAUUUGUAAAGGAUAUGUAAUGUAAAU